CAUCUGAUCGACGGUGAUGGAGCAAGGGAGGGCCAGCGGCAGACAGCAGGCCAAAAAAAGGAAAAAAUCAAAAAAAUAGGAGACCGCCCCCUUUCUCUUUGAUUGUCUUCGGUUAUUAGCCGAUUAUCGAUGGCCAUGACCUUCAAAAAAGAUAGAUAGAGAGGUGAGGGUCAUGCUACAGGGGUGUGGCACCAUGGGCAGCGGUGCUGGUGGCCAGAAAUGAGGAAGAGAGGGCUUGACUGAACAGAAAAAAAAUAGGGCAUUCCUUUUCUUCUUGAUUUCUGACAAAGUCAAUGGUCAGCAGUGAGGUUUGGGGCCAAAGGAGAAAGGGAAGAGGGAGAGG
rnacentral:lncRNA from 1 species